AUUUGCAAAAAAUAAAAAUAAUAAGAACUCCUCUCCCCCACGUUAAUUGCAAUGCAAAGGGAGAUGUUGCAUUACGGAUCCUGCCUGGGCUGUGCUGGGCUCUAAUGAAUGCGCCGAGCCUUUGAUCUGGGGAGGCAUUUCAUGCUACACCAUAAGAAUGAGGACACUGGGAGGAGGAGAGGUGUCUGCAAUCAAAUUGUCACCUUUCAUGGUAGAGGAGCAGUGCAAGUUUCCUCCUGCCAGCUUGUCCCCUUAGAGUCUCUGACCCUUGGUUUCUGCAGGGUUCUACAACAGUGAUUGGUGGUAAG